ACAAUACGGCGCUACAGACACAUCAGCAUCAUACUUUAUUUCUCAAGUAAACGUGCAAGGACAGGCACGCCUUAACAUUUUACAACAGCAGCGAUUACGCCCAUCCACAGGUCAAGAUUCUUUGUUGAUCAACUUUAUGCUUGUUGCAGAAAACUAUUCUGUGUCGAACAGGCUAAAUAUUUAUCAGCGAGAGUUUCAUUCAAUGUACUCAUUGACCGGUUCCCACAAUGAAGGCUGAGGCAGAGGCGUUUCAGUCAGCGAGAGGGUGACAAAGACACACUGUGCAAAAAUGGUGUAACUGAAAGACGUGGCUGACAUCGUUUCGUCCAUUGUCAAACUGCACCCACAAGAGACUAUCUGUGAGUACGCCACAGGGCACAGAGGCCUUCAUGACUGAGCUUCUUGCCUUAUUAAUGCCUGUAUAUAUGUCACCAGCACUGCAGGUAGACUGUUCGUCACCUCUGAAACACUGCCCUCUGCCAGCGACUCUCAGAGCCAACGAACUGAAUGCAGACAUGCAAACAAGAGAAGAGCUGUCAAUUAUCCCAAUGUGACUCAAUGGAAAUUGAACCGUCAUCAGAAGGCUGAUAAAACAGCACUUUUCACUUGUCUGCGAACAACGUUUGCAAAUGUCAGGUUGUAUGGUGAUAGACAUAAUGACUUAAUGACAUUAGGACGAUAAUGGCUUUUGUGUGCAAGGAGCAGACUUAUUAUUACUGCUUCAUUAAUACAUCUUUUUUUUUUUUUAAAGGAAUUUUU